rnacentral:rRNA from 1 species
AACGAACGCUGGCGGCAGGCUUAACACAUGCAAGUCGAACGCAUCCUUCGGGGUGAGUGGCAGACGGGUGAGUAACGCGUGGGAACGCGCCCUUCAGUUCGGGAUAACCCAGGGAAACUUGGGCUAAUACCGGAUACGUGCGAGAGCAGAAAGAUUUAUCGCUGAAGGAUCGGCCCGCGUCUGAUUAGCUAGUUGGUGGGGUAAUGGCCCACCAAGGCGACGAUCAGUAGCUGGUCUGAGAGGAUGAUCAGCCACAUUGGGACUGAGACACGGCCCAAACUCCUACGGGAGGCAGCAGUGGGGAAUAUUGGACAAUGGGCGCAAGCCUGAUCCAGCCAUGCCGCGUGAGUGAUGAAGGCCUUAGGGUUGUAAAGCUCUUUCGUCCGGGACGAUAAUGACGGUACCGGAAGAAGAAGCCCCGGCUAAUUUCGUGCCAGCAGCCGCAGUAA